GAUGAACGCUAGCGGGAGGCUUAACACAUGCAAGUCGAGGGGUAGCAGGAGUAGCAAUACUUGCUGACGACCGGCGCACGGGUGAGUAACGCGUAUGCAACCUGCCCUUUACAGGAAGAUAGCCCGGAGAAAUUCGGAUUAAUAUUCCAUAAGACAUUAGAAUCGCAUGAUUCAGAUGUUAAAGUUACGGCGGUAAAGGAUGGGCAUGCGUCCCAUUAGCUAGUUGGUGAGGUAACGGCUCACCAAGGCAACGAUGGGUAUGGGGUCUAAAAGGAUGGUCCCACACACUGGUACUGAGACACGGACCAGACUCCUACGGGAGGCAGCAGUGAGGAAUAUUGGACAAUGGGCGAGAGCCUGAUCCAGCCAUGCCGCGUGCAGGAAGACGGCCCUAUGGGUUGUAAACUGCUUUUGUACGGGAAGAAACACCCCCUCGUGAGGGGCUUGACGGUACCGUAAGAAUAAGGAUCGGCUAACUCCGUGCCAGCAGCCGCGGUAAAGUG
rnacentral:rRNA from 1 species